rnacentral:rRNA from 1 species
UACGUAGGGUGCAAGCGUUGUCCGGAAUUAUUGGGCGUAAAGAGCGUGUAGGCGGUCUGGUAGGUCCGUUGUGAAAACUCGAGGCUCAACCUCGAGACGCCGAUGGAAACCCUCAGACUAGAGUCCGGAAGAGGAGAGUGGAAUUCCUGGUGUAGCGGUGAAAUGCGCAGAUAUCAGGAAGAACACCCGUGGCUAAGGCGGCUCUCUAGUACGUGACUGACGCUGAGACGCGAAAGCGUGGGGAGCGAACAGG